rnacentral:RNase_P_RNA from 1 species
GGCAGCGGGAGGCCGGCCCCCGUGCCGAGAGGCAUGAGGAAAGUCCCCCCACCCGUCGGACAGGUGACCGGGCACAAGCCCGGGGCGGGAGACCGUCGGCUAUGGAACAGCAACGACACGUCGUCCGGGGACCGAUGAGGUGCGCGAAUCCCGAACGAGGCCGUGUGUGGGCCGUUCGGCCCACGCUGCCGAAGCGAGGGAGAGCUAACCCACCGAGGGUCGAUAACGUGGCCCGCCUUCGGCGGCCCACGCUCCCCCGGACGGACCGAUGGAACGGCGAACCCUCACCGGUGCAAGGCCGCGUCGACAGGUAGUCCGACACCGCGCGCGAGCGCUGGACGCGGCCGCUCAGCCGAAUGGCGGCCCGAACAGAAGGGGGCUUACUCCCCGCAGCC